GGGAAUGAGAAUGGUCGGGAUAGCUCAG
rnacentral:tRNA from 1 species